CAAGACGGAGGAGGCUAGCGUUGUCCGGAUUGACUGGGCGUAAAGCGCGUGUAGGCGGGAUCUUAAGUCGUCGGUGAAAUCCUCUGGCUUAACCAGGGAACUGCCGGCGAAACUGAGAUUCUUGAGGGCAGGAGAGGAGAGUGGAAUUGCUGGUGUAGCGGUGAAAUGCGUAGAGAUCAGCAAGAACACCCGUGGCGAAGGCGGCUCUCUGGACUGCUCCUGACGCUGAGACGCGAAAGCCAGGGGAGCGAACGGG
rnacentral:rRNA from 1 species